GUCGCAAAUUUGCAAUUAUGUGUGGGUGAAAUUGUAAGUAUUUCGACUCGUCUACAAUGUUACACCUGCAAAAGUACAAUCAUCAUUCUAACUGGUUUUUAUUUCGUCUAUUCUCAACAUUGUUACAUCGGAGCACCUCGUGUUGUUUUUUUAAACCGGUAUUUAAUUUUACCAACAUACCUACCUACUAGUAUUAGUAGCUAACUAAACUUACCUACCAUGUAUUCGACAUUAGACGACUUCUCUCGUUGGCGAGUUUUUUUAACAGUAUUGUACUGUAUGUUUUUCAAGUUCAAGUUCACGCUUCGCGCGCGGCGCGUUCGAUUAUAAUUUUUGUUAUCAGUUUUAAAAUUUAGUUACAAUGAUCGAAUUCGCGUUUUUUUUCUACUACAUUUCGGAUAUCGUGCUUAAUCAGGUCCACACUCAGCUAUACCUGCACAAAGCUUGCCUUGCCAAUUCAACGAACGAACAGUCUUACAAUGAUUGCUAUAACUACAAAGGAGGAUUAAUAUUAGUCUCGCCAGUCACAAGUUCUUAUUAUCGUUGGGCUAUGCUACUUCUGGGUGUAUUUUAUGUAUCAUUAGCCACAUCUUGGAGCGACAUAUCAGGUCGACGUCGAAAACCACUCGUGAUCAUAGCGGUCUUAAGUCAAAUCAUGGAAUCACUCACUGGCUUCGCGCAUUAUUUUUUCAUUUCGAGUAUGAUAGUGACAUUCAUUUCUAAUACGAUUUUAGAGUUCAUCGGAGGAAUGAAUAUGAUGUUCGUAGUGGCACAGAUUUACAUCUGCGAGACGUCCGCUGUAGAAAAUCGUACCAUGAGGUUGGGGCUCUUAUGGGUAGUCAGAGUUGUAUGUCAGCUAAUUGGGAACGGAAUCACAUAUUACUUUGUAUACUACAAAGUUAGAUUUUUCUUCUCGUAUGCCUUAUGUUUUGUAUUGUCAUUUAUUUCGAUGUUACUAACUGCCCUUCUAGACGAUAAAUUUGUCGUUCCGGAGGAGAAACUGAGUUUUUCGAAAUUGUUCGAUGCAACACGAAUUGCUCACAAUUUCAAAUUGGUAUUUAAGAAAAGCCUAGGGAAAAAACGACUGCUCGUUUUAUUGCUAUUGAUUGCAUACGUUUUGAUGUAUUUUGUUUAUGAAGGCGAAAAUGUAUUUUCUACUUAUUACAUUAUUAAUUCUCUACUUGGAUCGCUCUACGCUACUGACCAGCACUGGACUGCUCUUCAAGUCGUUAAAAACAUUGCACUUAUUUUCAGCACCCUGCUUUGCUGUGUCAUCCUGAGUAAAUGUUUGAAAAUACGUGAUGUUUCGAUCGGAAUUUUUGCCAGCAUCUGUAAUAUCAUCGGAGUCAUUUUUUAUUUCUUGGUUGGCCAGACAUGGCAACUUUAUGUUGAUCUGUUCAGACUUGAUCAGACUUAAUCAUCGCGUUUCAUGGGCUCCGAAGAGUAAGCCUUAACAAUGAAAUGUAGGGAAAAACUUGAAAAUUAAAAUAGCGACGAUGUUGAAUGUUUGUCAUGGAGUGAUAUUAUUCACCAGUGUUUCUUUCUUGAGCAAAUUUUACGACGGUAAAGAAUUCGGAAGGUUGUUUGGUGUGCUCAAUAUCUUCUUUUGCUUGGCUUUAAUCAGCAAAUGGGCGUAUGCAACCGUUUUUGUAAAAACUAUCGACAGCUUUCCAACAGCUGUAUACUUGAGUAGUUUAUUCUUAAAUAUUGCAGUUUUAGUGUUAUACUGCAUUUCGUUCAUGUUUUGGUGGUUGAUGAGUGAUUCUGAAGUUUUUGAAGAAUCUUAAUUAUAUGACCAUUUAUUUAUACAUAUUUUGUACACAAAAACAUUUUUGUACUCGCAGAAAAAUACGAAUAAUAUUUUGCAUUUAUUUAGACUAAGUGUGUGUUUCUGUGUUUCACUGUUUAUACAUGUGUGUACUUAUCUAGUAUCUACCUAAGAUUAUAAGUACAUAUAAGUAGGUAACUUAUGAUCUAAUUGAUCAAAAAUGUUCAUGGAUUUCGCCAUACCCACCUAUUUUAUUGUUUUUGUCAAUUUUGUUUUCUACAAAUAACUACACAUAAAAUCAACUGAUCGAGAUAAA